rnacentral:rRNA from 1 species
GGGCCCGCACAAGCGGUGGAGUAUGUGGUUUAAUUCGAUGCAACGCGAAGAACCUUACCAGGGUUUGACAUCCUGCGAAUCUCUUGGAAACGAGAGAGUGCCUUCGGGAACGCAGUGACAGGUGGUGCAUGGCUGUCGUCAGCUCGUGUCGUGAGAUGUUGGGUUAAGUCCCGCAACGAGCGCAACCCACGUCGUUAGUUGCCAGCAUUUAGUUGGGCACUCUAGCGAGACCGCCGGUGAUAAACCGGAGGAAGGUGUGGAUGACGUCAAGUCAUCAUGCCCCUUACAUCCUGGGCUACACACGUACUACAAUGCUACGGACAAAGAGCAGCUAACUCGCGAGAGUACG